AUUGAACGCUGGCGGCAGGCCUAACACAUGCAAGUCGAACGGUAACAGGAAACAGCUUGCUGUUUCGCUGACGAGUGGCGGACGGGUGAGUAAUGUCUGGGAAACUGCCUGAUGGAGGGGGAUAACUACUGGAAACGGUAGCUAAUACCGCAUAACGUCGCAAGACCAAAGAGGGGGACCUUCGGGCCUCUUGCCAUCGGAUGUGCUCAGAUGGGAUUAGCUAGUAGGUGGGGUAACGGCUCACCUAGGCGACGAUCCCUAGCUGGUCUGAGAGGAUGACCAGCCACACUGGAACUGAGACACGGUCCAGACUCCUACGGGAGGCAGCAGUGGGGAAUAUUGCACAAUGGGCGCAAGCCUGAUGCAGCCAUGCCGCGUGUAUGAAGAAGGCCUUCGGGUUGUAAAGUACUUUCAGCGGGGAGGAAGGGAGUAAAGUUAAUACCUUUACUCAUUGACGUUACCCGCAGAAGAAGCACCGGCUAACUCCGU
rnacentral:rRNA from 1 species